UACAGAGGGUGCGAGCGUUGUUCGGAAUUAUUGGGCGUAAAGCGCUGGUAGGUGGCUUGUUAAGUCGCGUGUGAAAGCUUCCGGCUCAACCGGAAAAGUGCGCGCGAAACUGGCGAGCUUGAGUGCCGGAGAGGGUCGUGGAAUUCCCGGUGUAGAGGUGAAAUUCGUAGAUAUCGGGAGGAACACCAGUGGCGAAGGCGGCGACCUGGACGGACACUGACGCUGAGACGCGAAAGCGUGGGGAGCAAACAGG
rnacentral:rRNA from 1 species